rnacentral:lncRNA from 1 species
AACUCGCAUAAAUCAUAAAAGUCAAACAAUCAUCCGUUCAUAAGGAAUUACCUAUGGUUUAUCUAAUCUAAGCACAAGGAUUUUAGCUACUCAUAAUCAUGAAGAAAAAAUUAAAAUCAUCAAAGGAACACGUUGAAAUUAGGUUUAUAAGAAAAAAUAAAAAAAAAUAAUUUCGCUGAGAACCCUAUAAGAAAUCGAUCUGCCAAUCUUGAUUAUGUGUUCCGAUCCG